GACGAACGCUGGCGGCGUGCCUAAUACAUGCAAGUCGAGCGGGGAUUAUGCUUGAUCGCUUCGGUGAGACGGCAUAUAUCCUAGCGGCGGACGGGUGAGUAACGCGUGGGUAAUCUACCUCGUAGUUCGGGAUAACAGGCCGAAAGGCUUGCUAAUACCGGAUGAGUUCAUGCUUAUGCAUAUAGGCAUGAAGAAAGGGCUAGCCCGCUAUGAGAUGAGCCCGCGUCCCAUUAGCUUGUUGGUGGGGUAAUGGCCUACCAAGGCAACGAUGGGUAGCCGGCCUGAGAGGGUGUACGGCCACACUGGGACUGAGACACGGCCCAGACUCCUACGGGGGCAGCAGUAGGGAAUUUUCGGCAAUGGGCGAAAGCCUGACCGAGCGACGCCGCGUGAGUGAAGAAGGCCUUCGGGUGUAAGCUCUUUCAGUCGAGAAGAAAGGUUAGUAGACUAAUAAUACAUAACUCAUGACGGUAUCGACAGAAGAAGACACCGGACC
rnacentral:rRNA from 1 species